rnacentral:misc_RNA from 1 species
UGUGGGAGCGAGCUUGCUCGCGAUAGCGGUGUGUCAGGCACAUUGAUUGUGAAGGUGCCUCAGUCAUCGCGAGCAAGCUCGCUCCCACA